GACGGACGCUGGCGGCGUGCUUAACACAUGCAAGUCGAACGGAAAGGCCCCAGCUUGCUGGGGUACUCGAGUGGCGAACGGGUGAGUAACACGUGGGUGAUCUGCCCUGCACUCUGGGAUAAGCCUGGGAAACUGGGUCUAAUACCGGAUAGGACCGUGCUUUAGUGUGUGCGGUGGAAAGUUUUUCGGUGCAGGAUGAGCCCGCGGCCUAUCAGCUUGUUGGUGGGGUAAUGGCCUACCAAGGCGGCGACGGGUAGCCGGCCUGAGAGGGUGUACGGCCACAUUGGGACUGAGACACGGCCCAGACUCCUACGGGAGGCAGCAGUGGGGAAUAUUGCACAAUGGGCGCAAGCCUGAUGCAGCGACGCCGCGUGGAGGAUGACGGCCUUCGGGUUGUAAACCCCUUUCGGCAGGGACGAAGCUUUUGUGACGGUACCUGCAUAAGAAGCACCGGCUAACUACGUG
rnacentral:rRNA from 1 species